GGAGGACUGGCCGAGCGGUUUAAGGCAACAGUUUUGAAAACUGUCGUGGGUUAACGCCUACCUGGGGUUCGAAUCCCUAGUCCUCCGCCA
rnacentral:tRNA from 1 species